rnacentral:tRNA from 1 species
GGGCAGGUGGUGGAAUGGUAUACACGCAGCACUUAAAAUGCUGUCCCCUAAAGGGAUGCGGGUUCGAGUCCCGCCCUGCCUACCA